rnacentral:sRNA from 13 species
UAUAAGUAUCAAUCAAGGCAAAAAAAAAUUGCCAAUGGUAAAUUAAAAAUUAAGAUUUUGUUUUAUUUACAAAAACGUUUCGAAAAUCACAAUUUCCAAAACAGACUGGACAAAUGUAUCAGCACUUAACUUGUCGAGUUCACGUGUAGUGGAAGUAAUACAUACAGGCCAAUUUAUAAGAGAGGCAAUACAUAAACUGCAAUGAGGUAUCGUGUAUCAUAUAAAAGUUGGAUUAUACAUAUUUAUAUAGAACAGUUUGGGAAUGUAUAUCUACUCAUCAUUAUGUUCUAAAUAUCGGUACCAAAGCAGCUGAUUGGAGAUUAUUUGUCCCCUUUCAUAUCCAAAACUCUGCUGAUAGAUAUGUGUUCAUCACGUAGUUCUGGCUUAAACAGGUUGUGUAAGGCCUGCACAACAACUGAUGACGUAGUUCUGGUUUAAACAGGUUGUGUAAGGCCUGCACAACAACUGAUGACGUAGUUCUGGUUUAAACAGGUUGUGUAAGGCCUGCACAACAACUGAUGACGUAGUUCUGGUUUAAACAGGUUGUGUAAGGCCUGCACAACAACUGAUGACGUAGUUCUGGUUUAAACAGGUUGUGUAAGGCCUGCACAACAACUAAUGACGUAGUUCUGGUUUAAACAGGUUGUGUAAGGCCUGCACAACAACUGAUGACGUAGUUCUGGUUUAAACAGGUUGUGUAAGGCCUGCACAACAACUAAUGACGUAGUUCUGGUUUAAACAGGUUGUGUAAGGCCUGCACAACAACUGAUGACGUAGUUCUGGUUUAAACAGGUUGUGUAAGGCCUGCACAACAACUAAUGGCGUAGUUCUGGUUU